ACUUUGGGUGUAAAUUAUUGUGGUUUUUUAAGAUAGAUGGAUAAGGUUUAACAACUUGCUGUUAAGUUAUAUUAAGAGGGAGGAUUUAAUUACAAAAGUUGAUUUAUGAUUAGCGAACUCGAAUACCAGUUUGACUAAAGCCCACUUACUUGCCAAACGGAUCAUAGUUGUCACUGAUUAGGAUGGCUUGCUGCUGAUGUCAAAUAAUCAUAAUAAACCAAUAACUCAUCCAUUCAAUCAUCACUCUAUUAUUCACUUCAAAUCUUUUUUUCAUAAACACAAUUCAUGAAAUAUUUUAAAAUUUAUAAAUAUUUAAUGUGCAUUCAAGAAGAGAUUUCCUUAAUUUAAUAUUACGAUCUAUCUAUUAAUAUCGAUGUGGAUGGGUUUCCAACAGCUUUAGAUAAAUCUUUUAUAAAUUGAAUAUAAUAUAUAUAAAAUAAUACUUUUAUAUGUUAUAAAGAAAAAUGAGGUAUAAAAGGAGGAAGACUGAUUAAAAGGAGGUAUAAAUUCAGAAUAAAAACGUUCAUUAAUUUGAAAGUGUAAAACGGUAACAUAAUGAAAUAAACACAAGGUUAAAUAGAUAUCAUACUGGUAAAAUAAGGUCGAAGUAACAUUGAAAACAUCAAGAAAGUAACUCUUGGAAAGCUUAGGGAAAGAGUUGAUAAGUAAUAAACAAAUAUUCUCCUAAAUAAGUCUUUUGGUAAACUCUCAAUUCUACUUCUAAAAUUUGAGUAUUUUUUUAAAGAACUUUUACGUUAAUGGUCAAAGAGAUUUCAUAACGAUUUAGAGUUUUUGAUAAGGUUUCGAACGUGAAAAAUAUUAAAACUCAUUUAAAAUAUUUUGAACUUAAAAGAUGAUUAUAAUGUAUUUGAUUUAAUUCACGUGUAAUUAAAUAUAAAAAAAUAAUAUAAAAUUAAAUGUUUUUUAUUUACAUAUUAUUACAUAAAAUUUAUUUUUUUAUUAAAACUUUAGAUAUUUUAAAUUGUUAUAGUAUACAAAUUAUUGAAAUUAUUUUAAAAAAAAAUUGAGGUGGCAAACUGUUUUGUGUAUAUUAUAAUUUUCACGUUGAUAAGUUAUUGCACAGUGCAUAAAAACUUAGAGACUAAAAUUAAUUUUAAAUUAUUAUUUUUAUAUAAAAAAUAUUAAAAAUAUAUUUGAUCUAAUAAUAUAAUUUUUGAAAUUGGCACAAUUAUUCUAUACAGUCCUUCGUUUAUUUUUGGUUCACAUGAAGGCCGUAGGCCCAAAUUAUGGAACAGAAACAGAUUGUACAGCUAAAAUCUCACGUUUGAUGUCUUAAAAAACAUCAAUUAUGCCACCAAAUUGACUGCACAUCACCACACCCUAAAUCAUCGACACUACAAUGAAAGAAAUUUAGUUUUCAACAACCUUAAUAACUGUUAGUUAAUUUCAUCCUUACAAAAUUUUUUGAGUGUCAAAAAAAUCAAAACAACAACUCAAGGACAAAGGUUGAAGUUGAAUUAAAUUUACAUAACAGUGGUGAUAAAAUUGAUCGUUAAUGCUAGCUUUAAGAACCUAAUUGAGUAUUGAUUAUAUUAAUUUAAGAACUAAAUUUCGUUUCUAAUGAUAUCAAAGACUAUUUUUUAUUGAUUUUUAAAUUUCAAGAACUAAAUUAGCACUUUAUUCAUUUUUAAAUUCAGGUCUCAUAAAAUUCAGGUCUCAACUGGUCUGGAUAAGAGCUUUGAGGGAGAAAAACAUAAUUUUUGUUUGGAAGAUUCGGAUUCAAAAUGAAACAAUAUGAUCUACAAAGUCUUUCCAAAUUCAUAAUUAGCUUAUAAAUGAUGUAAUCCAAUUUUUUUUUUCAGAUUUAUAAACUUUUCCAAAUUCCUAAUUAGCUUAUAGAUUAGGUAAUCAAAAUUAGCUUUUAAAUUACAUAAUUAGACUUCGAAUUAUAUAAUCCAAAAGUUUGUUUUUUUUUCAAAUGCAUUUAUGAAUUACUAAUCCUAAAAUACAAUUUUUUAAAAAUAUAUUUCAAAUUAUAUAAUUCAGAAGUCUAAAUUUAAUAGUAACUUUCAGAUUAUGUAAUCCGGACAUGCAUUUGAAAAAAAAAAAUUCAAAUUACAUAAUCCGAAAGAUACAAGAACAAACCGGACAUAUUUGGGAAGAAUCUUUUAUGAACUCACCUAUCUCACUGGCCCAAAAUAGUAAACAAUUUUAAAAAAUGGAAACAUUUUUAACCGUUUCUAACCUAUUACACUGGUUAAAGAAUUAAAAGGAGGCAUUUCUCGUUACAACACGGAUAAUCGCUCCCAUAUAACUAGUAAAACCAACAUCUUUCCAGUUAUCAACACGUUUUUCCAGUAAAAACUUUUUAUUCAACUACUGAUAGGUGCACGCGCAUGCGAAAAAUAUGAACUUUUUAUGAUCAACAAAAACUAUCUUAAAAAAAGAAUGUGUUCAUUACUAAAAAAAUUCAUCCAAAUGAUCACUUACCAGGCAAUGUCAGUAACUUCAACAAAAUCUCGAGAUUAAUAUCGUUCAUCUAAAAUUUCUGACAGCAAAAUUGAACCUUUUCCUUCCAUUCCAUCUACAUCUCCUCCCUUGUCAACAUCCUGGGCGUAUAAUGUCUUACAAACAUGUUUAAUAAGGAAAGUAGUAUUCAAAACACGCUACAAUGCGGCAGUUAGGUAGCUCGAAAAUCAAGAAAAAUACGUAAUUUUUGUAUUAGCAUCUCCCGAGUACCAAAAUGUGGCUUCCCAGCUGUGAUCCAGUCCUUCUCCAGAAGAUUUGCUUUAGCACCGGCCAACAUUUCAUCAUGGAAUGCAGAGACUAUCUGGUAGAUGGAAGUCUUGAGAACGUCAGCAAUAGCAUACGCUUUUGAAUUUACUGGGCCACUUCUUCUUUUACCAGCAGCAACAUCUACCCUUCCACUAUUCACAGUGGCCCAUUUGAUACCAGCAGGUCCCAACAACUGAUUUGGGGAUUGCAGGUUUGUUUUCUUUCCCAUGAAAUUUUCAACAGCAAGAAGGCAGGAUAGAAGUGUUGAAACCACGGCAGCAUUACUCCCGGAAAGCUGAGCGACCCCAUUCUUGUCCUCCUUACGUGAGCAGGCAGUCAGUGAGGCAACACUCCUUGAACACCAUGCAUAUAGCUGCAUUUAAGCAAACAAAUACUUUUUAAUAUGUUAUCCAAAAAUUCUGAAUAGAAGCCUGGGAGUGUGCUGCUUUGUUGCCCCACAACUAGAAGGCUUCUUGUCACAGAAAAGUUAAACAAGUGACCAUUUGAACCAUUGGUUAUUAAUUAAUAUCAAAUUUACAGGGUUGCAAUUCAUGUCAUGUCAAUGACCGACAUAAAUAUUUAGGAAGCCCAGAGGAAUCAUGAGUUGACUUUCCCCUCUGUAAGUCCAUCAACAUAGAGUUACAUAUAUUAUUGGAUUACAUGUAUAAAGUGUUAAAAAUAACUCCCCUGAAUUUAUUUUCUCUUUUACAUAUGAAGAGGGAAGGCAUAAACCACAUAAUAAUUGGUUGUGGGAGCAAUUUCACAUUUAAUACAUGUAAAAUACUGAAAAUCAAUAUAAUAUAAGGGUAUUAUAAUUAUCAUCAUGUUAAAACUGCAAGUGGAAUGGGCUCGUUUAAUGUGCACACCCAGUCCCAUUUUUAAGGCAGCAGUUUGAGUUUAAAACAAGAAGAUGAAACUUCUGGGUGUUUGAUAAUCAAUGUUACAACUUAAGAAGAAUUUCUAGAGUUUAGAGUCUUUAAAAUCAUGUUUUUUCUUUGAAUCUACAUGUUUCUUUUUAUAAUGAGGUACAUUUAUCAUCAUACUUCUUGCAAAAUUGCUUAUUUUGGCUCCACAACCUAAAAAACAAGUUUUUCCAAACAUAGUUCAUACCACAGAAAAAAAUGAACAUAAAACAGUGAGGCCUGAAAGACAUUGUAGAAAUGCUAAUGCUAAGCCAUGAAAAACCUUCUAGUAAAGUUCAAUAUUCAGUGUGAACACCAAUGCCCAAAGCUUCCAGUUAUACAGAGAGAAAAAAAGUUGGAUUUUAGCUUCACAUAAACUAUACAAAUGAUGAAGUUAUAUAUGUACCUGGAAGUUGUACAAUUCUUCCACGUUCUUAAAAUCGAACCGUGCCUCCGUUGGGGACAACAGCUGAUUUGAUAAUUGAGUAGCUUUGUCAACAGAACUUCCUGGGCCUUCACCUAAUUUAGUUGCAAGAUGUUCCAACGGCUUCAAGCACACAUCAACUACUCUUUUGUACGUUUCACUGGUUUCUUCAAAAAACCCCGCACGCCUCCAAGUGUCAACAUUGUUCUCACAAACCAUACACAGAUCAAGAUGUGCAAGAUACCUUAGAAGCGAUGUAGGAGUAGUCUCCUCCAAAGCUGAAAGGAGAUGCUCACUUGGAUUCGUUUCUGCUGCCGCUGAUCCUUUUGGAGGUGCAAAUAUGGACCUCUUAGUAUGCAAAACCUAUGUGGCAUAUUAAACCAAAACAGAAACUUCAGCAUUCGGUAACAAAAGGCUGGGGAAUAUAAAUGCUUGCAAAACACCUCAUCCAAUUCAAAAUCCCAACAUGUUGCAUAUGUCUGUAACUGGCAUACAGGUGACAUUAUACAGGUUUCAUUAUGGAUAGUUAAGAGAAAGCUACUCAAAGUUGUUUUAACACAUCCCUCACAUUAUACACAACAACGUAACCAGGACACACAGAACGAAAAUCCAAUGUACACGAUAGAGACCCCAGAUUCCAAAAGAUCACAUAUGCAGAUCAACGAAACAAGGUUGAACAAGUUCGACAACAUGGCAAGCAUACAAAUAAAACCUAAAACGGAAAAGUGCAUGAGCACCGGGAUCACUUUCUUCUGGGCAUAUCAACAAACAUGUAGGGAUCAUUAGUUUGAGAAAAACCUACCCAAUGCAAAUGAUGAGUCAACUCCCAAGAGAAGAAGAUAGCAAAAGUGGCAGCAAAAGUGGUUAACUGCUCGACGAAGAAUCCUGUGGUGGCGACGGAGUACUUAAACGGAUGCGGGAGAAGCUCCAACAAAACACCGGAGAUAACGAAAGCAAGAGCGGAAAGCUUGAAGGCUUGUUGAGCAGCGGAAGGAACACCCAUCUUGAAGCUGAAAAAGAGAGGACGCUGCAGCCGCAAGAAGCAAUAAAUCAGUGCGCAUAAAGAUUAUGAAUUUAUUAAUAAGAUGGAAGAGAGUGAGAGACCUGGAUGAUGGGGAAGUGGAGGAGCCAUCGGCGCUGGAAAAGGUAAUGCGAUGCGAAGAGGGAGCCUAGGAGGAAGCCCCGGAGGGCUAAUCGGGGUAAGGGGGAGGAGGGGUGGGCGGCGGCGGGGAGGGAGAGGGCGGCGGAGAAGGAGGCGGCGGUGGCGAAGAGGAGGGAGAGGGGGAGGCGGGGGCGGGGGUGGGGGGAGGAGAGGAGGGAGAGGGUGGGGGAGAAGAGGAGUUGGGAGGAGAGGAAAAGGAGGAAGGAGAAGAGAGGGUAGUGAGGUGAAGAGAAUGGGAGACAGAGAAAACAGAGGAAGACAAGAGAAGAUGAAAUGGAUUGCCAGAUCAUGAAACUCAUCAACCGCUUCUUCACCACCAACUCCAACCUUCCUCUGCUCCCAGACAUCAUUCACAAAUAACCACUUUUUCUUCUUUUUUCUUUUCUUUUCUUCUCUUCUUCAACAACAAUGCUUCACUUCCCCCUUUCUUCCCUUCUCUUCCCAGACACUAUUUCUUUCAAAGGAGGUAAGACUCAGUAGUUUGUUAGGUCAGUUUAAAUUUUUGAAUUUUUUUAACAUUUCUUCAAUACAAUCUAUAUUAUUAUUACAAAAGUUGGGUUAUAAUACGUUUCGGCUGCUCUGUCUUAAAUUAAAAUUAUUAUUUUUUAAAGUUUUAUCUCUAUAUUUAACUUAAGCAUAAUAUAUGAAAACUAGGAAAAUUGAUUUGUAGAAUAACUCAAAUUGAUUUGUUACAUUUAAAUUAGAAAAACCCUAAAAUGGUUAGGGUUUAUUUGAAUUAUGAAGAUCGCAGCAAAAGAACGUUCUUUUCAGUCACUCCCAACGUUUCCCAUUCCUUUUUUCUGACGAAAUGGCAAUCAUCAUCCCCAAACGCCUCUUCACCCUCCGCUCCGUCACCGCUUAUUCCCUCAACCCAUUCACGCGCCCACGAACCUCUCUUCCUCUCACGCGCCUCCUACUCCACGCGCGCCCAUCCUCCACCCAGCCAUCGAGAACCCCGUCGGAGAAACAAUUCGAGACGUGGGUCCAGGCCCUGAAACCGGGCUUCACCCCCUCCGACGUGGCCCAGGCACUGCAGGCCCAAUCUGACCCGGACCUGGCCCUCGAUAUCUUCCGCUGGACCGCGCAGCAGCGCAACUACAAGCACACCAGCCACACCUACUUCCUCAUGAUUAAACACCUAAUCUCCGGCCGCCGCUACAACCACGCCGAAACCCUAAUAGAGGAGGUCAUUGCCGGCGCCUGCCACGACGUCUCUGUCCCUCUCUACAACUCCAUCAUUCGAUUCUGCUGCGGUCGCAAAUUCCUCUUCAAUCGCGCCUUCGAUGUCUACAAGAAGAUGCUUAAUUCCAACGAUUGUAAACCUGAUCUCGAAACCUAUACCCUUUUGUUCAAUUCGCUGCUUCGGAGGUUCAAUAAGUUGCAUGUUUGUUAUGUGUAUCUGCACGCAGUUAGGUCUUUGACUAAACAAAUGAAGGCUUCUGGUGUUAUUCCUGAUACCUUUGUAUUGAACAUGAUCAUCAAGGCUUAUUCCAUGUGCUUGGAGGUGGAUGAGGCGAUUCGGGUUUUUCGCGAAAUGGGGUUGUAUGGCUGUGAGCCUAAUGCUUAUAGUUAUGGCUACAUUGCCAAGGGAUUGUGUGAGAAAGGGAGGGUGAGUCAGGGGUUGGGGUUUUAUAGGGAGAUGAGAGGGAAUGGUCUUGUGCCUAGUACCAGUACUUAUGUGAUAAUUGUGUGUAGUCUUGCGAUGGAGCGCAGGUUUGAGGAAGCCAUUGAGGUUGUGUUUGAUAUGUUGGGGCAGUCUAGGUCCCCUGAUCAUCUCACUUACAAGACUGUUUUGGAAGGGUUGUGUCGGGAGGGAAGGGUCGAUGAUGCUUUUGAACUGCUUGAUGAAUGCAAGAAGAGGGAUGCUUCCAUGGGUGAGAAGAUGUACAAGACUUUGUUGGAGGACUUGCAUUUUUCGUGCCGGGAGUAGGUUUUGUGCUAAUGCAUUUACUUGAAGUAGCAUAAGAUGCAUAUAACUCUGCUUUUGUUGGAGCGUAGCUUAGUCAAUCUCCUGCUCUUAUGAGACAACUGAUUUUCUUGAAUGAGUGCUGAUGCAGAUAAAUAGUUGCAUUUGCAUGGAAAAUUGCUCUCAACUUCCUUUGGACUAAUUUAGCUUGCAAUGUGAAUGGAGGGGGCACCUGAUUAGUUGUUAGUUCUAUAAACACUGAUAUUGAUGAUAAGGUGGCGCAAGCUUCUUUUAUGAUAAAAUGUUGCCUCUGAGCAUGCUGAAUAGACUAGACCACAGCAUUGUAAAUACUGACAGAUGAAUUUCCACCUCAUGGCUUUGUGACAUGCAGAAGUUGCUCGUGGAUAGUUUGCUGGAGUGGAUGAGUAUCUUAAGGUAUUGUGCAAAGAACCAAAGCUUCCCAAUAUUCAGCUGAUUGUUCUUUAUUGUUGGCUUCUCGCCCUUAGUUCAUCAUUUGUUUUCUCCAAGAAUUAAUCUGAAAUAGAUGUUAGCUAAAAGUUUUACAGUUGCUAGCAUCUGUUUGUAUUAGUUACGGAUAUUUAUCUUUUAGUCCUAAUUCUCCAUGGUUUGGAGCAUCCCUAUUGGUCUUGCUCGCCGCAUAAGGGGGGAAAUUACAUUAAUCUUCUGUGUUCUGAAUAAAGCAGAAUUAUUCCGCGUGUGUAACGAUGGUGAUCAUAUUUGCUGAUGCAAUUGUGUUACUCUUUGCAAUGUUUAUCUUUUGGCAUUAAGUUAUAUAUAUAGUGUGGCUUCCUAUAACUUAAUGUUGGAAACGUGCCUUAGAUAUUGUAAAGCAGUUUUAAUUUUUAUUUUGAACAAGUCAAUUAUUAAAUUGAUAAGAAUAUGUGUUAUUUUAAUUCUAAUUGGUAGUGGAUGAAUUGUUUUCCUUUUACCUUAAACAAAAACCAACCCUUAAUACACAUUAUAUCCUGUGCAACAAAUCUUUUCAUUCUUUAACAUGAAUGGCAAAUUACACUCACCUUAAGGUUGACUGAAAUUACAUUAUCUCUUUAGUUUUCUAUAUUAGUUUCAUCUUCUUGAAUUUAUAUAAUUGCAUAAAAAAAAUCAGGUAAGGUAUAUGUAUGAACGAGAAGGAUAUCUGACAUUAUUUUCUUGUAUAAAUUGAGAGACGUUAGUGUAGGGUAAGAAAAAGAAGCAGCAUAAAGGUUCAGCAUCGAGUGAAUUUUGGUUAAUCCUCAGAUUGAAUGUAAUUUGUCAAAACUCUUAACAACACACAUCCUUAUUCAUAGCAGUAUCUCCUCGUCAAUUGUCUUUUCCACUUCUUUAUUAAUUACAAACUAUACUCCUACUGAACUGGUUCCUUAAUUAUAGCAGUAUAACUGCCUUUACAGAAGCAGGUUCACAUGAAUCGAACCCGCAGUACAUAAUCGUUACAUAUCCUGGUACUGAUAUUUUUUCGAUGGAUAUUAUGUUAUAUCAAGAACUUUUUCUAGUUCUCACGUAUUAGAAAUUCUAAAUGUAAAUGUAGAAAAAAAAAAUAGUACAAACUCAUCACUAAGGUUUUGAAUUGAAAGUGGAUUUUAGGUUGAAAGUGGUACUCUAAUCCUUCAUAUGAAUUUGUUUUAUUGGUGUCAAAUAUCGUAAACGUAUCCCCUCAAAAAAAUCCCAUACAUCCUAUUACAACAAGCUCUAUUUAAAUACAAUAUAAAUAUUCAACAUUAUCACUUUGACUCGGUGAAAAGUCAUAUCAAUUCUCACUCUGUACCAAUAAAAAAAAUUAUGAAUUGCAUACUGAACACCAUAAGAUUGAUCCGCAAGGAUUACAAGUCGAACAAACAUCACAUAACACUACAUUGGAAAUAUUAUCACACCAUCCAACGAUUUCUUACACAAUCACAUUCACAACAGUUAACACUCAACAUCCUGGUUCCUAAGACGUAUUAUGAACAAUGAAUAAAAUAUCUAAAGGUAUCGCUACAAGACUACAACUAACACGUAAAAAGCAGUUGAAAUUCAGAUAAUUACAUCAAACAGGUGUUGUUCUCGAAACUGAAGACAAUGCAUCUUCAAACCGAUCAUCAUCUAUCUUCUCAGAGCUCAAGCUUGGUGGAAUGAAAGAUCUGAAAAUCAAUUCCAUGUUGGGAGGUUCCUUAAGUGGAUUAGCUGCAACCUCAAGUGCUGGAUGUUCGAAGGCAGGGUAGAAUUUCUUUGCGCAGACAAAACCAAAGAUCAAUGACAAAAAGGGCAGAGGAAGCACAAGUGGUGUAUAGUAGAAUUUCUGCGCCCCAAAGUACCCAAACAUGGUAAUUUGGUAUAGUAUCAGAGAUGCUAGUACACGGUUGUGUAUGUGAGGCCACAUUCUUCCAUAACUUUCAUAUGAUGGUACGUAGACUUUGAGUGCCUGUUGAUUAAUAAGUAUACACAAACUCGUAAAAAAAUAUUUACUAACAGGUCUGAUUUAAAAAUAGCUUGGUAAAAGGGAUCAUCACAAAAACCAAUGAAGUACUAAAUUGAGACUUAAGGAAAGGUUAGCCAUAAAAAAACAUUAAACUGGGUUCAUUAAACAAAAUUC
rnacentral:lncRNA from 1 species